rnacentral:misc_RNA from 1 species
UCCAACAAGAGCUCACUCCGAGAGGGCGAUGACCCAUCCGAUGGGAAGCCAAAGCAAGCGGUAAGCAGCGGCGUGUGCGUCUACGGCAUUGAUCAUUCAUUUGAUGCCUAAUCGGCGUUGAGCGGGCGAUGGUGCAUGUUGGCCUAGUAGAGGCGUUCACGAUGAGGCGAGUUGCUUGGGAUGGCGAAUUGUUGGCUUGGUGAGCUUUCCGAAAUCGGUUGCCUCCCUUGUCCUACGUGCCUAGCGGGGCAUGCUUAGGCGUUUUGGUUGUUGUUUAUUGCUUGUGAUGCUUAAUUGCAACGUGAGCAUGUAGACGGUGGCCUUUACGUUCGAGCAUCGUGUACGCAAUGGUGCGUGAGUGGUGAUUGGCGUGUAAGGGCAUGUCGGAUCCCUGCUUGGGCAGCGACGACGUGCCAUGCUCGCCUUUUCAGUUGGUGGUCCAAGUGCUUGCUAGCCUUGGCCGUUCUAGGUUUCCUGCGUUGCAUACCUAUUGCGAGGGCAUUCAGUCGGCCAAAAACGUCCCAUUUCGCCUUGUAUCGUGCCUCUUGGGCUACGGUGCGGGGUGUACCUCGAAGCACCCAUCGUGUUCCACUUCCCUUGCGUUAAACGCACGUUCGGGUUGUUGGCCCAUGAUGUCGUGCUCGAUCUCUCGGAUGCGGAAAAUCUAGUGGGCACGAGGCCCUCGGUCUCUAUUUGUCCCGAAAGUAAGCGUUCUACGCUUCGUGCGAACGACGACCGUCGCUGUUUAAAUCGAGUCCUAGUGGCUUGGCUCAUCCAGUGGCGGCGUCGAUGAGGAAUGCU